rnacentral:rRNA from 1 species
GGGAAUUUUCGGCAAUGGGGGAAACCCUGACCGAGCAACGCCGCGUGAGCGAAGAAGGCCUUCGGGUCGUAAAGCUCUGUUGUAAAGGAAGAACGGCGCAUACAGGAAAUGGUAUGCGAGUGACGGUACUUUACCAGAAAGCCACGGCUAACUACGUGCCAGCAGCCGCGGUAAUACGUAGGUGGCGAGCGUUAUCCGGAAUCAUUGGGCGUAAAGAGGGAGCAGGCGGCCGCAAGGGUCUGUGGU